rnacentral:lncRNA from 1 species
AUGGCCCCAAAUCCACCACCAGAACCCCAAAUCCACCAGAAAUGGCCCCAAGUCCACCAGAAACGGCACCAAAUCCACCAGAAACGUCCCCAAAUCCACCCCCCAGAACCCCAAAUCCACCAGAAAUGGCCCCAAAUCCACCCCCCAGAAAGCCCAAAUCCACCAGAAAUGGCCCCAAAUCCACCCCCCAUAAGCCCAAAUCCACCAGAAAUGGCCCCAAAGCCACCCCCCAGAAAGCCCAAAUCCACCAGAAAUGGCCCCAAAUCCACCAGAAACAGCCCCAAAUCCACCAGAAAUGGCCCCAAAUCCACACCCCAGAACUCCAAAGCCACCCACAAUGGUCCUAAAGCCACCCAAAACGGCCCCAAAGCCACCCCAGAAGCCCAAAUCCACCAGAAACAGCCCCAAAUCCACCAGAUAAGGCCCCAAAGCCACACCCAGAACCCCAAAUCUACCAGAAACGGCCCCAAAUCCACUCCCCAGAACCCCAAAUUCACCAGAAAUGGCCCCAAAUCCACCAGAAACGGUCCCAAAUCCACCAGAAAAGGCCCCAAAUACACCCGCAGAAGCGCAAAGCCACCAGAAAAGGUCCCAAAUCCACCCAAAACAGCCCCAAAGCCACCCCCAGAACCCCAAAUCCACCAAAAACGACCCCAAAUCCAUGCCCAGAAGCCCAAAGCCACCCAAAAUGGCCCCAAAUCCACCCCCAGAAGCCCAAAUCCACCAGAAACAGUCCCAAAUCCACCAGAAACCUACCGCAACCACCCCCAGAACCCCAAAUCCACCAGAAACCUCCCCAAAUCCACCAGAAAUGGCCUCAAAUCCAUCCCCAGAAGCCCAAAGCCACCAGAAAUGGCCCCAAAGACACCCAAAACGGUCCCAAACCCACCCCCAGAAGCACAAAGCCAACAGAAAUGGUCCCAAAGACACCCAAAACGGCCUCAAAGCCACCCAAAACGGCCCCAAACUCAACAGAAACAUCCCCAAAGCCACCCCCAGAAGCCCAAAUCCACCAGAAAUGGCAUCAAAUCCACCCCCAGAACCCCAAAGCCACCCAAAACGGCCCCAAAUCCACUCCCCAGAACCCCA